AUUGCUCUCGGUAUUUUCUCCACUUGUGCAGAAUUAUCGUACAAAUUCGGUGAAAGAGUCGCCGAGAGUCGCUGUAAUGACGCUCGACUCAAACAGCGUAUCCCCCUGGAUGAGCUACGCAAUCUUAGUACACCCAUAGGCUGUAUCAGGUGUCAAUCAUAUCAUCAACUACAUGUCACAACCAGGGGGGAGAAACAUUUAUAUUCUGUGUCAUUCAUUUAUAAAGUUUGUCCACAGCUCCAUAAGGAGGCGGGGUUUAUGACCUAUACUGCAGCCCGUCACCAGAGGGUGCUGUUCUCGGAGUGGCUUCACCCAGCGAAGAGGCAGACGGUUUCCCUCAAACCUGACCCAUCACAGAUCCAUUGUGACUUCUCGAUUUUCUGCGUUCAUCUUCGACUUCCUCCAAACUUCACUCUCUCCUAAUCGGAGCGUCAGAGUUUCAGGAGUUUCGGGGUCGGCGCUCUCCUUCUCUUUCCUACAGCGCUGCUUUUUUCAGCUGCCGUCCUUGCGUCGGGACUAAAUGCAAUUAUUUUUUGUUUUGAGAAGAUGGUGGAGCGUGAAUGUUACCCCUCCGCUGUUAGACUGAGUCACCUUGCUGACUGGGCUCUUCAGAUAUCCAAACACCCGACGGUUGGACACGCUCCCCCCAAAGUUAAAGCGAGGAUACCCGCCGUCACCGCGCCGCUAAUAACUCACAAGUGGAGUUGUUCCCCUCUCAGCGAGCCGCGACCUUUCCACAGUGUUCUCUCACUUACGCUGUACAUUAUUAAUGCUGCUUGGAUUACCGUGUGUGUGUGUGUGUGUGUGUGUGUGUGUGUGUGUGUGUGUGUGUGUGUGUGUGUGUGUGUGUGUGUGAGGCCCUCCAUUUUUACAGGGUUGAUUUUAAUAUGUAUGAAUACAGCGGUGAGAAUCUUUCCCGUUAUCAGCCUCAACAUCGCUCACCAUCACGCCGCCUCCCUCCACAGGCCGGCCCACAUUAGGCCGCAAUCUUUGAUAGAGACAGCGAGUCUAAUUCUCGUUUUUAAAAGAAGGUUAUUUCACAAAGACAACCCCGCGGGCUGAGAGAGAAAUCAAAACUCUGAAAAUGAGCAGAGAGCGCCGUCUUUCUGCUCUCUUUUAUCUUCCUUAGCCCCUGAUUCCUAAUUCUGUUUCCUCUUUUCUCCUCUUCCUUCUGUCCUCAUAUCUCCGCUCGCCUCCAUCCCUGCCGGAGGUGUCAUCCUAAAUGCCAUGUGGAGAAUAAAGGAGGGGGGGUUAUAUUGUUUGCGCCUGUGGAGGCUUCCUUUUCGGCGAGGACGGCAGCGGAGUGACGGGCGGAGACAGGCGGCGCACACACACACGGAAAAAGACAGAUAUUUUAGUCGCCGCGGCUCCGGCGGUGACGAGCCUGACAACUACUUGUGUUCCAAACUGUGAGAGCGGGGCAGGCUGGAGGCUCCUUCGCCGCUCUGCGUCACAGCGCCUUGAUAAGAGCACAUCGAGAAAGGGCAGCUCUCAACCACAGCGCUUCAAAACGAGACUUAAUGGAGGUUCGACUCCGGUGCGAGCAGCAGGAAUACCACAAGUUGCGUGGCUGCCCUUUUCAACCACCCCGCCGGGUACACCGCUGAAGUCUUUCACCGCGCCGGCCGAGAGUGCUCUUUAAUAAGCCGCUCGCUCUGCGUCGUGAUUGUGUUAUGUGCACUUUUGUAAAUAUCAUGUGUGAUUUUUUAAAGUUCAGAAAACAGAAGUGGAUCUUCAGACUGUACGAGAAACUCUGUCCAGAUCAUCCUGCUCAGUUUGUGAAGGACUCGUAACGAUGGACAGAGCUGAUCUACACAAGAGCGAGUCAGAGCACGGCUGGGAUUUCACGCUGGACAUGAACCAGACCAGACCGUGGUUCAGUUUGGUUCAGACCAAACAGAGAAGUCCAUGACUUAGAGCCUGAACUACUAAAGAGUGCAAAAACACGUGCAAAGUCUGGACCAAAUGACUCACCAGGCGCCGAGGAUUGCGCCUGUCCUUGCGUUUAGCAUGUUUGCCUUCAUGAAUAUGCAGAUUGUUUGUAGAUCAUCAGACCGCCCAAAAUUCUAGAGGGAGCAGAUGAUAAUAGAAUCAUUUUUCACCUGUGAUGUGAUUUAAUAAAUCUGGAAACGAUUGCGGUCGCUGAUUUGCAUGAACAGUAUAUUUAGCACAUUUGAAAGGCGUGUGCAAAUUGGCACAGUGUUACACACAAAUGGCUGCAGUCAUUGCUGGGAGAAGGAGGCAAAAGUGCAAAAGUGUUUUUCUCGUAAAAAACAGUUUUGAUGUAUAAUUAGGUCAAACAUGGAAUAGUCACAAUAAUUGAUCUCUUUGUCUUAUUGAUUCUAAAUCGUUUGAAUCCAUACGAAUAAACUUCCCUCGCCUUUUAUGAGUUGCUGGCUUCCUCAAAAUGAUAAGUGCAACUCCGUGACUUCAAACUUCAUUUUUUUUUUAUCACUCUGCUCUCAAAACCCUCGUUUAAAGAGGGCAGUCCGCUCUACUUUUGCUACUGUUACCAACUGUGCAUGCAACAAUAGUAGAUCACCCGCAAAACGCCCACUAAUAGCAUGUGCACAUGUAAUUUAGCAUUCGCUAUUUUGGAUCUUCGUAGAUCAGGCCCUUAAUGUGAAAGACCCCUUAGCAAUUUGCUCCAAGCUGUAAUCAUGUUUAUUUGCUGCACACACGAACAUUUUACAGUGGGUGUUUAUGUGACUUAAGGGGCUUUUGAAACCAGCCCCCAGUGGACACUCAAGGAACUGCAGAUUUUAGACAGGGAAUGAGGUGACGAGUAAAAGUAAAAAAAAAGAAAAUUUUCUGAAGAUGAAGUUGGACCUCACUAUUAUCAGUUUUUGAGAGCACAGACUUUCUCGCCUGAGUCGGUGUUGCAGCAGCUCACAGGAUUACAAUCUUUCUUCUCCUGUUAACCUCGAUAAAGUUGUCGAAUAAUAACAUUUAUCGGACGAACUCGGACCAGCCUCAUUUACAACUCUUAAGUUGUCACUGUAGUUGAAAACCAACAAUAUUUGAAUAGUGGGAAUGACGUGUUGAUGUCAGACGCUGUUUAAAACCCGGAAACAUGUUCUGGGUCAUAUAACAGCCUGAUGCGUCUCCCUCCAAACUCCUUUAGAAACAUUCAGAGCCCAGCAGCUCCCUCAGAUCCAGACUCUCCUGCAGUAAAUCCAAACUGCAGGGACAAACUCUUUUUACCAAUUUCAAGACGUACUCUGUGGACAGACGGCUAAAGUAAGUCCUGUGUCUGGGUCACGGAGCGAAGACUAUAGACGAUAAAUUUUUCAAAUUAAUAGCAGUGGACUAUCAGCUGGAGUCUGCAGGCCGGCCGACUCCAUCAUACUGAGAGCAGCGGUGAGUUAUGGACUUCAGAUUAGUAAUGAACCCCAGAGCUCGGCGGUAAACAGGAUCCAGAGAGGGGAGGCUUUGAGAUGAUGCAUGAAGAUACAAAACAUCACUUUAGUUCAUCAGGGGCAUUAAUGAAGCUACAACAGAAACACAUGAUUAUUUCUGAAACAGGAGACCACUCAGUGUAUGACACUUAAAGAGUCAUCAGGUAGGAGCACCAGGUGAGACUCAAUCACAUGACCUCCGGACGGCAGGUUCAGAGUUCAGUUUUCUCAGGAUUCAAGAUCAAUUUAAACUCAUAAACAGGAUUUAAUUCGGCAUCAAAAGCUUCUUUAGAGCUGAAACAGAGCAGUAAAUUACUGUAUCAUCUGUGUACAAAUGGAAUUUUGCUUUGGAGACAUUUUGACUUCUAGUAUUGAUAUAAAUCAAAAACAGAAGACGUCCUAAACCUGAACCUUGAGGGACACCAUUAAUUCAUUCGAGAGGUCAAGAGGUGAUGAAGCGGUGGUUUUAAGGUCAUUACACACUUUUUCGCUAAUUUAUGAAGUGACAUGAAAAUACAAAACAUUCAGCUUAAACUUUUUCCUUUACACACCUGAUGCGACAAAAUUUGCAUAUUUGCAUAAAAAUAUGGUCUGUGGUGUGAAUUACAGUAAAACAGAGGGGGCGAGAGAAGAAGGAGAGAAAUGGCGACUACAUCCUCAGGUGAUGAUGACCUGGUCGUGGUUGUUAGACGAUUAAAUAAAAAGAAAAAUCAAAGUGUCUGAGUGAAUCUGAUACAGGAGGUGGGGAGCUCCACACGAUGAUCCAGGAACUCAAAUUGUAUCCUGAGAAAUUCUGCCAAUACUUGAUCAAUCCAGAGCAACGACUCGCCACGUUUCUGUGAUAAGAUUUAUAUUAAAUUUGACCAAGUUCACCUGAGAAAACUGCAAAUUUUGUAACAGGGGCAAAAAAAUUACAGUUGGCUUUUUUCGCUUUGUGGAAGUUCGUAGCCGGUGUGGCAGCUUAGACUGACUUCAUGAUAGGGUGACCAUACAUCCUCUUUUACCCGAACAUGGCCUCUUUUUAAAAAAAAAAUCCUUUAAAUGUCAAGUUUUGAGUUUGUGUCACUUGAACUAACUGAGACAGAAGUGCGUAAAAAACUCUCAAAACUGACGACACGUGACUCCAUGACUCCGCCCUGCGUAGUUGUGUCGGCUUUUUUGGCAUCCAGAAUAUAGUCGCCCUACUUUAUUACGUUUUUUUUAAAAAAGCGAAUUAUUUGCUUCACAAAUUCGCCCGCCGUGUAAUGACCUUUACUCUCUGUACGUUGCAACUUCUACUGGUCUCCCCUAAAUGCUAAAAAAAAAAACAAUACCAGAUCAUCUGAGUUACACUUUGGGCUCUUUAUCCAAUCAAAACAGCAGAAAUACUAGACAACACUUUACAGUUAUGAAUAUGAACCAUUUUUAAUGGAGUGAAGAGAGUCUGACUUCAUGUUUUAAACAGUGUGAACUCAUCAGACAUUCACUCAGUGACUCCAUUAUCCGUCUUCGCUGAGGCGACAUGAAUGGGUGAAACCUUCUGCAUUAACUCCUUUAAUCAUCAUGAGUCAUUUAUUAGCUCAGUGCUGCUUCAGUUUACUCCGUCUAUCCUCCGUGUGAAGUGUAAGCACUAUUUAAAUGUCUCCGUAUAAAGAGCGUGACUCACUCUUCCAGCAUCUGUUAGUGUUUAAGUUCGCGCCGCUACUCCUGCCCGUCUCUGUGAGCUCGAGAGCGAGCCCGCCAGAGAUCUGAGGUGUCACAAUGAGGUUGUCGAGACAGAUGAUGUAACCGUAGCGACACACGGAACUCACCUGCUCUGGGUUAAAAUCACGCAGGACAGAAAGGAGAUGGAGGGAUAAUGAAAAAAAACCUGUUAGGACAUGUUCUGGUCUUGACAGGAGCCUCCGGACGUCAGGGCCCCCCGAGCCGCUUCCACCGCCGCAGCAGCAGUUUAAAGAUAAGGAGUAAUGAACCUCGCCGCUGGUGCACUGAAGUUGCAAUUUUCAGCCAGUCAGUUCACGAUGGGAAAGGAUUGUGAAUUACACCACCAUUAUGAUUCUAAGGGUCGUCUCACCUGGGGAAAAUGAGCUGCUGAUCCAGCCUUAUUGCACUGCAGGUGUUAUUGCCUCCCUCGUCGAGUGUGAGACAACUUUGUGUCAUGGAAGUUGAGGAACAGGCGAAUAUAAGGUUAUGGUUAGAGUAAGAUUUGUGUGUGUGGAUGAAAACUUCCCCUUUUCAACGAGGAUAUAACUCAAGCAAACGCACUUCAGUUGUAAGUUUAUUUUCUCUCCUGCAACACAAAAGCCCCUGGGGACGUCUGGAUGUAUGCAGUCUGACAAUCCAUUGGCUAUUGUUUAGAAAUGAUACUGCUCCGAGGGUGACGGCCAAUUUCGGAGGCUUUUGGUGUUGGCAGGAGUAACUGGGGAAAGCUGAAAAGGAUUUCAAGGCCAGGGUUUCUUCUUGUGCGCACAGGCCAAAGUAGACACUGGAGGCUGAGUGUGGACUCGAGUCUGAGAGACUCUCAAAAGUACAAUCAGGUUAUCAGAUGUCUGCUAAUGGAGACUGAUAUAGAGAUGAGGAUUAUUACCCAAACAGUAAUGGCAUUUGGAGGUUUGUCUCUAUUAUCCUUUCAUUAUAAAAUAAUGUUUAUUGAUAAGUACACUACAAUGGCUCAGCUGUUGGUGUCUUGCACCCUAUGACCUGCCACUCUAACCCAAAGCCCCGCCCACAACACUGUCUGAUUGGCUGGAUAUCACCUGUGGACUAGUUCUUUGGGCGGAAGCUGCAAAGUUCCUGGUGAUGAAAAAAUUAGCCGACCCCGGGACCAGGAACAUGAACACUGACCUGCUGUCUCAGCUGGUACCUGUAGAUGAACGACAGUGUGUGUCAGUAAUACUGCAGUCACUUCCUAUUUUCACCUCUGGGAUAUUUGUUCACAGCGAUAAUCUGGAUUGACUCUUUUUUUCAGGUGCGCAGGAUCCUGGAAUGAAGCAGAUGGUGUUCGUUUCAGUGAAACAAGCCCAAUGUUCAUUAUUGUGUGAUGCCCAGAGGAGAGAUAUUUGCAUUGUUUGAUUUCACUCUUUUUAAUGACAUAUUGUUUAAAUCAAAGUCAAAUAGCCUUCAACCAAGUUUGGCUUAUGUAUAUAUAUAAUUUGUUGGUCUGUUUUUUUUUCUUUUUUUUUUUUCUUUUUAUCUUGAUAAUGAAUAAAUCUGCAUGUCUGUUUUGAAAAAAAUAUUGUUAGGUCAAGCAUGCUAUAAUUCAUACAUUCAUUUUUAUAUAAAAUAGUUUGUGCCUGUAUGUGACAUGAAAGAAGGACUGAAUCAAUGAAUAUAUGUAUGUUUAUAGGAAUAAAUGUAUGUAUAAAUACAUUUUUAUGUUUGUAUGUUGUAUUCAUAUAUGUAUGUAUCAAAGAAGAUAAAUUUCUGUAUGUAUGAAUGAAACUAUAAAGAUUAUAUGUUUGUGUUUUGGUUUACAUGUAUGAAAAUAUGCAUGUACAUAAAUGAAAACUGUAUGUCUGUAGAAAUGUUUGUUUGAGUGUAUAGAUGUAUACCUAAAUGUAUGUUUGGAUGAAUGCAUGUGAAUCAGUAUGUAAAAAUAAUAUAAGAAUAAUAUAUGUAUGAAUAAAUAAAAAGAUGUGUUGUGCAAGAAGUAUUUAUGAACUAUACUAUAUAGUUCAUAGUAUAAUAUCAUUAAAAAUAUCAUGGUAUAGUAUAAUUAAAAUGUCAUAGUACAGUAUGAAAAAAAUUUCACAUCCUUGAAUGAAAAAAUAGGUCAAAGUAUUGUAUGAUAAAAAUAUCAUAGUAGUGUAUGACAAAAAUGUCAGAGAAUAGUUUAAUAAAAAAUAUAAUUAAGUAUGAAAAAAAAGGAUGGUAUAAAAAUAUAUCAUCGUAAAGUAUAAAAAAGUCAUAGUAUUGUAUGAUUAAAAUAUAAUAAAAAAGGAUGAUAUUACUUAUUAGUUGAAAAAAUUUCAUGGUUUACAAUAAUUUAUUUAAUUUUAGAAUGAAAAGUAUUGUAGUACAGUAUAAUAAAUAUAUUUCAUUUCUGUAGAAAAAAUGUUAUUGUUCUGCAUAAUUUAAAUAUCAGUAAUGUAUGAAAAAACAUCAUAGUAUAGUAUGAUAAUAAUAUAAUACGGAAUAAAAAGAAGUCAUAGUCUUGUAUUAGAAAAAUUUAAGUGUGAACAAAAUUCAAAGUUUAGUAUAAGAAAAAAAUAUCAUAGUACAGUAUGACAAAAAUAUCAUAGUAGAGUAUGAUUAAUAUCCCAAUCUAUCCC
rnacentral:lncRNA from 1 species